rnacentral:rRNA from 1 species
UACAGAGGUCUCAAGCGUUGUUCGGAUUCAUUGGGCGUAAAGGGUGCGUAGGCGGCGCGGUAAGUCGGGUGUGAAAUCUCGGAGCUUAACUCCGAAACUGCAUUCGAUACUGCCGUGCUUGAGGACUGGAGAGGAGACUGGAAUUUACGGUGUAGCGGUGAAAUGCGUAGAUAUCGUAAGGAAGACCAGUGGCGAAGGCGGGUCUCUGGACAGAUCCUGACGCUGAGGCACGAAAGCGUGGGGAGCGAACAGG